GUAGUUGUUUCGUUAGUACAUAUCAUAAAACUGGAACAAUACAUAAAAAAUCACCAAGGCUCCUGCACAAGAUUGGAAUAAGGACACACUGUGAGAAUUAUCCAUUUCUA